AUGGGACGCAUCAGUUAUAGUGGAAGCACAGUUUACAGCUCAUCCCUCAAGAGCCGCAUCUCCAUCACCAGAGACACGUCCAAGAACCAGUUCUCCCUGGAGCUGAGCUCUGUGACCGAUGCAGACACGGCCAUGUAUUUCUGUGCGAGAGACACAGUGACAGGAAGUCAGUGUGAGCCCAGACACAAACCGCCCCGCAGGAUACAGGAAGGGUCUGUGCUGCAGGGGGCGCUCAAGGCCCACCCAGCUCCUGUGCCCCAUGAAGCAGGUGUCCUGUCCCAGGUGCAACUGCAGGAGUCGGGUCCUGGCCUGGUGAAACCCUCACAGACCCUGUCUCUGACCUGCUCUGUCUCUGGAUUCUCUUUAACCAGCUAUGGUGUGAACUGGAUCCGCCAGCGUCCAGGAAAGGGGCUGGAGUGGGUCGGUGCGAUAUGGAGUGGUGGAGGCACAGAUUAUAAUACAGAUCUUAAAUCCCGAGUCAGCAUCACCAGGGACACCUCCAAGAGCCAAGCUUAUUUAACAUUGAACAGCCUGAUAGUCGAGGACACGGCCGUUUAUUACUGUGCGAGAGACACAGUGAGGGGAAGUCACCGUGAGCCCAGACACAAACCUCUUCACAGGAAGACAGGAGGGGACUCGGUGGUUGAGUGA